AUACUUACCUGGACAGGGUCAAUGGGCGAUCAACAAGGCCCAUGGCCUAGGUUGGUGACCUCCAUUGCACUUUGGAGGGGUGGCAGCCUAAGGUCGGCCCAAGUGGCCGAGCCUACAUCAUAAUUGCCUGCGUUCGCGCGGGC
rnacentral:snRNA from 1 species